CUCCAGCUCCUAACCGCGAGUGAUCCGCCAGCCUCAGCCUCCUGAGGUGCCAGGAUUGCAGACGGAGUCUGGUUCACUCAGUGCUCAAUGGUGCCCAGGCUGGAGUGCAGUGGCGUGAUCUCGGCUCACUACAACCUCCACCUCCCAGCCGCCUGCCUUGGCCUCCCAAAGUGCCGAGAUUGCAGCCUCUGCCCGGCCGCCACCCCGUCUGGGAAGUGAGGAGCAUCUCUGCCUGGCUGCCCAUCGUCUGGGAUGUGAGGAGCCCCUCUGCCUGGCUGCCCAGUCUGGAAAGUGAGGAGCCUCUCUGCCCGGCCACCAUCCCACCUAGGAAGUGAGGAGCGCCUCUUCCCGGCCGCCAUCACAUCUAGGAAGUGAGGAGCGUCUCUGCCUGGCCGCCCAUCGUCUGAGAUGUGGGAAGCGCCUCAGCCCCGCCGCCCCGUCUGGGAUGUGAGAAGCGCCUCUGCCCUGCCGCGACCCCAUCUGGGAGGUGAGGAGCGUCUCUGCCCGGCCGCCCCGUCUGAGAAGUGAGGAGACCCUCCGCCUGGCAACCGCCCCGUCUGAGAAGUGAGGAGCCCCUCCGCCCCGCAGCCGCCCCGUCUGAGAAGUGAGGAGCGUCUCCGCCCGGCAGCCACCCCGUCCAGGAGGGAGGUGGGGGUCAGCCCCGCCAGGCCAGCCGCCCCGUCUGGGAGGCCAGCCCUGUCCAAUGCAAAGGCGAGCCCUGGUUCCAUGGGUGAGGAAGGGAUCUCUGGGUGCUUCCAGGCUGAACCUCUAGUCUGGUAAACAUCUGAAAGCAAACACUCCUCUCCCAUGAGAAUUGGUCUCCUGGAGAGCAUGCCUUUCUGAGUGACAACAAAAGUGAUCCAGAAUCUGAAUGGAAAGGAAUCUGGAGAUCAUCUAGUCCCAACUCCUAUAUAACACAGUUCGUCUUCAGUAUUACCCAAAAUGUGUAUAGUCUGUGCUUGAACACCGUGUGUCACAGAGAAUUCACUGACUCACAUCACUCCUCGCCAUUGUGCAUCAGCUUCAGAUAUUAAAACGCCUUCCCUUGAACCAAACUGAUCUUCUGGCAACUUCCACCAGCUGGGGUAAGUUUGGACUUUUGGGGCCAUGGUUAAGUCAAUUCCCUUUUCCCCAUGGCAAUACUUCAUCAAUAAACUAUGGGUUUUUUGCUUUUUUGUUCUUGUUGUUUUUGAGACAGGGUCUCACUCUGCCGCCCAGGCUGGAGUGCAGUGGCACAAUCUCGGCUUACUGCAGCCUCUGCCUCCCAGGCUCAGGUGAUCCUCCCACCUCAGCCUCAGUCCCAGUAGCUGGGACUACAGGCGUGCACCACCAUGCCUGUUAGUUUUUGAAUUUUUGGUGGAGAUGAGGUUUCACCAUGUUGCCCAUGGCUGGUCUUGAACUCCUGGACUCAAGCAAUCUGCUUGCCUCGGCCUUCCAAAGUGCUGGGAUUACAGGUGUUAGCCACUGCGCCUGGCCUAAUAAAAUAAACUAUGUUCUAUUAGUGCCUGCUUCCUGGGGAUACUGUGAGGACUAAAUGAGGACCUGCCCAUAGUGAGGACUCAGGAAAUGUUCGCAAUGAUUACAUAAUUUGAAUAGCAUUCAUGGGCUCCAUCAACCCUGGCUAGUUGCUACCCCCUGGUAAUAAUAACAGCGAAUAUUUAUUGAAGGCUUACUGAGAGGCCUUGUACCAACUCUCCUCUAUGUAGUCCUCAAAACAACUCUGUAAUUUGGAUUAUGCCCACAGAGAAGAUACAUCACUUGUCCAAGAUGACAUUAUGGCAAAACUAAGGCAGGAACUGGGCUGUUUGAUUCCAAGCCCAUGUACUUUGCCUCAUCUUUUUUUUUUUUUUUUUUGUAAGCGAUAGGGGUCUCACUCUGUGGUCCAGCCUGGGGUCUAGUGUUGCAAUCACAGUUCAUUGUAUCCUCGAACUCCUGGGUUCAAGGGAUCCUCCUUCCUUAGCCUCGCAAGUAGCUGGGAAUGCAGACGUGCAUCACCAUGCCAGGCUAAUUCUUUUUUUUUUUUUUUUGGUAGCGAUGGGGUCUCCUUAUGUUGCCCAGACUCGUCUUGAACUCCUGGCCUCAAGCAAUCCACCUGCCUUGGCCUCCCAAAGUGCUGGGAUUACAGGUGUGAGCCACUGUGCCUGACCUGCCUCAUCUUUAAAAAAAGUUUUAAAAUUAAUUUUAAAUUUAAAAAAAUUGCCUCAUAUUUUGUGCACUCAAGUCUCAGACUAUUGCCACUCACCUCUGGGCAGGUUCCAAUGGGAAGCGCUCUUCUGUGCGACUCCUCGUGCAGGUCCUUGGGUCCUGGUGUUGGCCACCAUAACAGGCCAUAGCAGAAUGAUUUCUGUGGUAUCCCUGGGAGCUUUGGCAAUUUCAGAGCCAAAGGAGAUGCCAGACUGCCUGGCUCCAAAGGGGCCGAGACUGGGUCUCAACUGUCUUUCCUCAUUGGAUAGCCUACAUUAAAGGAUCAUUUUCAAAAAAGAGUAAAAUCACGAUUCUCAUUGGGAUAUUAAAAAAACACAUGUUAAAGAUUUUAUUUAUUCUUUUUUUAAAUUAUUUAUUUAUUUUUUUGAGAUGGAGUUUUGCUCUUGUUGCCCAGGCUGGAGUACAGUGGCCCAGUCUCAGCUCACUG
rnacentral:lncRNA from 1 species